AACACAUGCAAGUCGAACGGGGUGUUUAUUUCGGUAAACACCAAGUGGCGAACGGGUGAGUAACGCGUAAGCAAUCUACCUUCAAGAUGGGGACAACACUUCGAAAGGGGUGCUAAUACCGAAUGAAUGUAAGAGUAUCGCAUGAGACACUUACUAAAGGAGGCCUCUGACAUAAGCUUCCGCUUGAAGAUGAGCUUGCGUCUGAUUAGCUAGUUGGUGAGGGUAAAGGCCCACCAAGGCGACGAUCAGUAGCCGGUCUGAGAGGAUGAACGGCCACAUUGGGACUGAGACACGGCCCAGACUCCUACGGGAGGCAGCAGUGGGGAAUCUUCCGCAAUGGGCGAAAGCCUGACGGAGCAACGCCGCGUGAACGAAGAAGGUCUUAGGAUCGUAAAGUUCUGUUGUUAGGGACGAAGGGUAAGAAUCAUAAUAAGGUUUUUAUUUGACGGUACCUAACGAGGAAGCCACGGCUAACUACGUGCCAGCAGCCGCGGUAAUACGUAGGCGGCAAGCGUUGUCCGGAAUUAUUGGGCGUAAAGGGAGCGCAGGCGGGAAACUAAGCGGAUCUUAAAAGUGCGGGGCUCAACCCCGUGAUGGGGUCCGAACUGGUUUUCUUGAGUGCAGGAGAGGAAAGCGGAAUUCCCAGUGUAGCGGUGAAAUGCGUAGAUAUUGGGAAGAACACCAGUGGCGAAGGCGGCUUUCUGGACUGUAACUGACGCUGAGGCUCGAAAGCUAGGGUAGCGAACGGGAUUAGAUACCCCGGUAGUCCUAGCCGUAAACGAUGGAUACUAGGUGUGGGAGGUAUCGACCCCUUCCGUGCCGGAGUUAACGCAAUAAGUAUCCCGCCUGGGGAGUACGGCCGCAAGGUUGA
rnacentral:rRNA from 1 species